rnacentral:rRNA from 1 species
CAGUAGCCGCGGGAAUACCGAGGGUGCAAGCGUUAAUCGGAAUUACUGGGCGUAAAGCGCGCGUAGGUGGUUUGUUAAGUUGGAUGUGAAAUCCCCGGGCUCAACCUGGGAACUGCAUCCAAAACUGGCAAGCUAGAGUAUGGUAGAGGGUGGUGGAAUUUCCUGUGUAGCGGUGAAAUGCGUAGAUAUAGGAAGGAACACCAGUGGCGAAGGCGACCACCUGGACUGAUACUGACACUGAGGUGCGAAAGCGUGGGGAGCAAACAGGAUUAGAUACCCCGGUAGUCCCUGUCUCUUAUAC